rnacentral:rRNA from 1 species
CCUACGGGAGGCUGCAGUGAGGAAUAUUGGUCAAUGGACGAGAGUCUGAACCAGCCAAGUAGCGUGAAGGAUGACUGCCCUAUGGGUUGUAAACUUCUUUUAUAUGGGAAUAAAAUGUUCCACGUGUGGGAUUUUGUAUGUACCAUAUGAAUAAGGAUCGGCUAACUCCGUGCCAGCAGCCGCGGUAAUACGGAGGAUCCGAGCGUUAUCCGGAUUUAUUGGGUUUAAAGGGAGCGUAGGUGGAUUGUUAAGUCAGUUGUGAAAGUUUGCGGCUCAACCGUAAAAUUGCAGUUGAAACUGGCAGUCUUGAGUACAGUAGAGGUGGGCGGAAUUCGUGGUGUAGCGGUGAAAUGCUUAGAUAUCACGAAGAACUCCGAUUGCGAAGGCAGUUCACUGGACUGCAACUGACACUGAGGCUCGAAAGUGUGGGUAUCAAACAGGAUUAGAUACGCGUGUAGUC